CAGCAGUAGCCACGGUAAUACGGAGGGGGCUAGCGUUGUUCGGAAUUACUGGGCGUAAAGCGUGCGUAGGCGGUUUGUUAAGUCUGCUGUGAAAUCCCCGGGCUCAACCUGGGAAUGGCAGUGGAUACUGGCAAGCUAGAGUGUGUCAGAGGAUGGUGGAAUUCCCGGUGUAGCGGUGAAAUGCGUAGAGAUCGGGAGGAACAUCAGUGGCGAAGGCGGCCAUCUGGGACAACACUGACGCUGAGGCACGAAAGCGUGGGGAGCAAACAGGAUUAGAUACCCCCGUAGUCCCUGUCUCUUAUAC
rnacentral:rRNA from 1 species